UACGGAGGGCGCGAGCGUUAUCCGGAAUCACUGGGUUUAAAGGGUGCGUAGGCGGCUCGGUAAGUCAGUUGUGAAAGCCCCUUGCUUAACGAGGGAGGUGCGAUUGAUACUGUCGAGCUUGAAUCGGGAUGAGGCAGGCGGAAUGUGGCAUGUAGCGGUGAAAUGCAUAGAUAUGCCAUAGAACACCGAUUGCGAAGGCAGUCUGCAGGGUCUGUAUUGACCCUGAGGCACUAAAGCGUGGGGAGCAAACAGG
rnacentral:rRNA from 1 species